AGCCCCGGAGUGAAAAAUGUUUUGUGAGUGGAUUACUAUUAUUACUUAUAUGUAUUCUACAAAGUAUUUAUGCUUGAUAGUAUGAUUUAGUAUCAUGUCAUGAUUAUUUGUACUCAUAUUAUAUGAUUGAUUGAAUAAUGAGAUGUGAUUGCCAGAUACCAUAUGUGUACCCUUCACCAUAGGCUCUAUGUAUGUGUAUUGAGAGUUAGAUUACUCGGCCCUUGUGAUGUAGUUAAUUCCGCUGAGUAUGGAGAGGUGUUUCCCCUACUUUACUUGUGCAAUGAUGAUUCCAUCGAGUAUUGAGAGUUAUUUCUCCUAAAUAUUAUUUGGUGUAGUUUU
rnacentral:lncRNA from 1 species